rnacentral:tRNA from 1 species
UCCCUGGAGGACUAGUGGUUAGGCCACAGCGCUCUCACCACUACAGCCCGGGUUUGAUUCCUGGCCAGGGAA